ACGCGACCCCAGGUCAAGCGGGGCUACCCGCUGAGUUUAA
rnacentral:rRNA from 2 species